UAGGGAAUCUUCCACAAUGGGCGAAAGACCUGAUGGAGCAACGCCGCGUGUGUGAUGAAGGGUUUCGGCUCGUAAACACUGUUGUAUGAGAAGAAUGACAUUGAGAGUAACUGUUCAAUGUGUGACGGUAUCUUACCAGAAAGGAACGGCUAAAUACGUGCCAG
rnacentral:rRNA from 1 species